UAUAUAUAUAUAUAUAUAUAGAUAUCUGCCUGACAACCCAGGCAGUCCCCCAGCAGGCAUCCUUGCAAUCCGGCCAAUAAGAAUAAUGUGAUUUGCUGUGUCAUUGCAAUGACAUGACUCAAAGCAGCCAAUAAAAUCUAGCAACUGGUAAAUCACUAGAAGUUAAAUUACUUUGUUUAUGCAGCUGUAGUCACACCUACCUACACAAUUUGUCUACAUAUGUCCUGUAAAGAGAGAAAUAGAGGGCUAUGAAGUGGGAACUCAAAGAGCAUUUAAAAAAAUUUUAGGUCAAAGUAGCUGAACUGGAAAAAUUCUCUAAGGCAGUUAAACAUAAAGUUGGCUACUUUGGUCUAAGAGUUAUAAUUUUCUUUGAAUUCUAACUUAAGAGAAUAACCCUGCAUAUGUUUAAACUUCCUUUAUUGCACAGUGUUUGGUUUAUAAUUUUGUAUCUCCUGUGGUGUUAAAGGACCACUAAAGUCUCCCAGACCACUUCAUCUCAAUUAAGUAACCUGGGUGCAAUGGUUCUGUCAUUUUAACCCUGCAAUGUAAACCACUGCAGUUUUGUAGGCACUGUAAUGUUUACAUUGAAGACGUAAACAAACCUUUACUGUCUGUCUUCCAGAUAUCCAUAGCCACGAGAGUUGCUUCCUCUACACCUAUAUUGUUUCUUUAAUGUCCUGCAGGAGGCACCAGUGUGUGAUUAAAAUUCAGCUAGCAGAGCAGGAGAUAGAAACAUCUAGGUAAACACUAUGUGCUGUCACAGCCGGGGGGGUGUGGCUAGUGCUGGGUAAUCAGAAAUAAAAGUGAUUUAACUCCUAGUUGGUCGAUAGUUGACAAAUGAGACUACAGGAGCAGUACAAGUGCUUCAUUAAGCUACCCUUGUUGUGGAGUUUUUAGAGUAUCGCUUUAGAUUAAUUUAUCUUCCACAAUUUAUUUUCUUAUUUGUGGAAAUUUCUUACCGUUUAUAUGAAAGAACAAAAAAUAGCAUUUUACAAUAUUUAAUUUAUAUACAUUUGUUUUGAUUUCAAUGUAUUCAUGAUGUGCAGUUUUGGCUUAAUGAAUUAAUUUGUCUGAGGUCCAGAAACCAGGGUGCCUUACUGAAGUUUUUAUUACGUGCAGUAAAAUGUGUUGCAGGCCCCUCUUUCAGGAAAAACUUGAAGUGAGCUUUUGUACAAUGACUGUUUAAAAAAGUUUGCUAGUCAACAAACCUGGUUAUAAAAAUACAACCAAAACACCUGCCACAACCUCAUUUCAUCCAUCCUAGCCUUACAGCCUGAGCUCAGACAUGAGCUACAAUUGAUUGUAUGUUACUUGUGAUUGUAUGAUAUUUCAUUUAGUAAUAUGAUCAUUUCUCCAUCCCUCAGUAGUUAAGUAUUUGACCCCUGUUUUCUUACCAGAUGGCACUGUAAGCGGAAUAAAUUGUCGAACUGAAUCUGUAUGAGAAGGGGUAAAUAUUCACUUCAGUUGGACAACUUGGUCCAUCUGAAUCUGUGAUAGCAAACCAAUAGCAUGCCAGAUGUUUUGGAUUUUGCUCUCCCUCAAUAUGAAUUCUAGUCUAAAACAGCUAGCAAACUAUUAGUUUAUCAACUCUGACCUGGGUUAAGAAACCUGUGGCUUAAUUUAUGGCCGUCAUUGGAUUGGCCUUGGGUUGCCCAUUUCCAAUCGUGACUAGCCUUGUGCAAAAAUAAUUUACAGCUAGUUUGUCCGAAUCAAGUUCUUUUUAUUCCACGCACAAACAAAUUGAUUGGUAAGGUAUUUCCCCUUCAAUGGCAGAUAGAUUCGUUUUGAGUGAAUCAUAAAUAUGAUUUGAACAAACUGGCAGCAACUAUUGUUUGCACAAUUCUAGUCUGGAGUACCCCUAUUGAAGAAAAAGGAAAAUAAAUUUAAAAAAAUAUAUAUGUAUAAUUUUUUUUUUUUUUAUGCAUUUACUUUAUAAGGAAAUGAUUUGGGCCUCUCAUUCUCAACCUGCUGGAUUUCCCAUUUAGAGCAAAAAUAUUGCACAUGAUGCUGGAAAUUAGGAACAACUAUGAACAUUCUUCAUUAAAAUGUUGACAUUUCAACUUAAACUCUUUGAAACUCCUGUUUGUGCUCAUAAAUAAACUCAGCAGUUUUGUAGAAAAUGAAGUAUCGCGAACAGUACUUCCUGGAUUGAUUGUAACCCCCUCCACUUAGUUUUGCCACAUAUAAAUUGAGAUAAACCCGUUCACCAAAGAAUCAAUUCAAACCUUUUAUUUCAAUAAUUACACAUUCUAUUAAUACCUUAUUGCAGGAAAUAUGUGUACCCUAUGUCAUUUUAAAGAUGUUUUAGACAACAGCUUCAUUGUCCUGCAAUAUAACAUCCAUGAAAAGGUUUUUCAUCCACUGCUUGGGCUGUGUCUUGUUUUCUGUGACUAAUCUUGGGAGUGAUACAAAUGAUUUAACUUUACCACGUAUAGUAGGAAUGGAGUUAUUCGGUUCUACCAGUAAUUGCUGUAAUGCCACAAGUGUAAAUCAAUAAAACAAAUAAAACCCCAACUCUGCUCUGCUA
rnacentral:lncRNA from 1 species